CCUACGGGUGGCAGCAGUGGGGAAUAUUGGACAAUGGGCGAAAGCCUGAUCCAGCCAUGCCGCGUGAGUGAAGAAGGCCUUAGGGUUGUAAAGCUCUUUCAGCGGGGAAGAUAAUGACGGUACCCGCAGAAGAAGCCCCGGCUAACUUCGUGCCAGCAGCCGCGGUAAUACGAAGGGGGCUAGCGUUGUUCGGAUUUACUGGGCGUAAAGCGCGCGUAGGCGGGUCGCUAAGUCAGGGGUGAAAUCCCGAGGCUUAACCUCGGAACUGCCUUUGAUACUGACGACCUGGAGAUCGGGAGAGGUUGGUGGAAUUCCGAGUGUAGAGGUGAAAUUCGUAGAUAUUCGGAGGAACACCAGAAGCGAAGGCGGCCAACUGGCCCGAUACUGACGCUGAGGCGCGAAAGCGUGGGGAGCAAACAGGAUUAGAUACCCCAGUAGUC
rnacentral:rRNA from 1 species